UAACACGGUAGGACCUGCCCAUGCGGCCGGGACAACUUCCGGAAACGGAUGCUGAUACCGGAUAAGGAAAGCGAAGGCAUCUUUGCUUUGUUAAAGGAGCUGCAAGGCUCCGCGCAUGGAUGGACCUGCGGUGCAUUAGCUGGUUGGUGAGGUAAAGGCUCACCAAGGCGACGAUGCAUAGCCGGCCUGAGAGGGCGAACGGCCACACUGGGACUGAGACACGGCCCAGACUCCUACGGGAGGCAGC
rnacentral:rRNA from 1 species